CCUACGGGUGGCAGCAGUGAGGAAUAUUGGUCAAUGGACGCAAGUCUGAACCAGCCAUGCCGCGUGCAGGAAGACGGCUCUAUGAGUUGUAAACUGCUUUUGUACGAGGGUAAACGCAGAUACGCGUAUCUGUCUGAAAGUAUCGUACGAAUAAGGAUCGGCUAACUCCGUGCCAGCAGCCACGGUAAUACGGAGGGUUCAAGCGUUAUCCGGAUUUAUUGGGUUUAAAGGGUGCGUAGGCGGUCGGUUAAGUUAGAUGUGAAAUCCCGCGGCUCAACUUCGGAAUUGCCUCGGAUACUGGUCGGCUAGAGAGCAGUGGAGGUAGGCGGAAUGUAUGGUGUAGCGGUGAAAUGCUUAGAGAUCAUAAAGAACACCGAUUGCGAAGGCAGCUUACCAAGCUAUUACUGACGUUGAGGCACGAAAGCGUGGGGAGCAAACAGGAUUAGAUACCCUAGUAGUC
rnacentral:rRNA from 1 species